rnacentral:lncRNA from 12 species
CUUGGUUGGACCUGGCUGGGGUUGUUUCUCCUUUAUUGUGUGUACAGAGGUCGAGCAUAUGUGUCUUGGGAGCACAUGUGGUGAUGUUUUCCUCUGCAGGAUGCUCUAGUUAAGGAAAUGGGCCUGCUGAUAAGAGAAGAAGCUGCACAGAAAGGACUGCCUGAUGUGGGAAUCGCUGGGAAGAUGCAACUUCCUUUGAAUCCGGCAGGAAGAGAGGAGGAGGGAGCUCAUGAGGCUCCUUCCCAUGAUCCCAGGGUCGUGCUCCCCGGAUUCUGUGGAUUCUCACAGUGGAAUGUGCGUGGAGGCCACGCAGACCCAUCUCCCACAUUUCUCUGUCUGAGCACCAGUGCAAGCCUGGCUCCUUUCUGCCCAGGGAAUGUGGUGUGACAAGGCUCUGCCAGCUGUGUCUGCAGCAGCACUUGCUGACUCUCAUCUGAACAGAGCUGAUCUCC